rnacentral:rRNA from 1 species
UACGUAGGAUGCGAGCGUUGUCCGGAAUCAUUGGGCGUAAAGAGCGUGUAGGCGGUUCAGUAAGUCUGCUGUGAAAGUCCAAGGCUCAACCUUGGGAUGCCGGUGGAUACUGCUGAGCUAGAGUACGGAAGAGGCGAGUGGAAUUCCGGUGUAGCGGUGAAAUGCGCAGAUAUCAGGAAGAACACCCGUGGCGAAGGCGGCUCUCUGGGACGGUACUGACGCUGAGACGCGAAAGCGUGGGGAGCGAACAGG